rnacentral:lncRNA from 1 species
GUGCGCCUGGUUGCCUGCCCUACUUUUUGUGUUGCAACUUUUUUCCCGCUUAUCUUCGUUUCUUAUUUCCUGCAAGCAAAGUUUCAUGACAGUCGUUCCACUUAGGCUUAAAGCAACCUUGAGUUGAAUACAGAGGAAAGCUGCACUGCAAGUUUUGCAACACAAGUCACUGUUUUUUCAGCCUUGCUUUUUAGAGAAGCCUGCCUAAUGUAUGGAAGAUGUUAUGUGCAUCAUAAAGGAGGGUGGGACAUGCAUGUGAACAUUUUCAAAUAUUUUUCAUAAAGGGUAUCAAUGGCAUCCAAUCUCUGACGUGUCAGCUACCUCACAUCAAUAUCACUUUCAUUCAACAAGUGUAACAGGGAAUAACAAAAAUUUUA